rnacentral:rRNA from 1 species
CCCUAUUAUAAAAAAUAUAAAGUUGAAUGCUAGAGUAGUAGUAGUUAAGUUCUUGAAAUUUAAAAGAUUUGGCGGUAUUUUAGUCUUUUCAGAGGAACCUGUCCUAUAAUUGAUGAUCCACGAUUAAUUGUACUUAAUUUAUUAGUUUGUAUAUCGUCGUCAUUGAAUAUCUUUAAAGAGGGGGUAGUAAUAUUCAAGAUUUAUAAUUUAUAAAAUAAAUCAGAUCAAGAUACAGCCUAUAAUUAAGUAGAGAUGGGUUACAAUAAAUUUAUUUAUAUGGAUAUAUUAAUUAACAUUUUUAUUGAAAUUGGAUUUGAAGGUAAUAUAUUUAAGUUAAAAUAUAUGAUUUAAGCUCUAGAAUAUG